CAGGAGGGCCCUGAGGAAGCUUCCGGCUGGGGAGAUGGAAAGACUGCAGCCUGUGACAAGUUAGGACCAAUCCUGCCUAAGCAUGAAGAAACAGGUUAAACUACCUCAGACACCUGUAGAGUAAGAAUCUGAACAAGAAUCUGCGAGAGUAAAGACCUAUAAGGACUCUGUGGGAACCAUAAGGAUUGCCUUCAUAUUUAUUCCUUCAUUACACAGCAAUCUAUAUGCAUAAAGGAACUGUUGACAUAUUUGACUUUCAAGCAACAUCAUUUGGGACUUAUGGAAUAGAAAUUAUCUCUCUCACAAUUCUUUAAAAUUUUGUGUGUUUCA